ACUCCUACGGGAGGCAGCAGUGGGGAAUAUUGCACAAUGGGCGCAAGCCUGAUGCGGCCAUGCCGCGUGUAUGAAGAAGGCCUUCGGGUUGUAAAGUACUUUCAGCAGUGAGGAAGGUGGGUAGUGUUAAUAGCAUACUCAUUUGACGUUAGCUGCAGAAGAAGCACCGGCUAACUCCGUGCCAGCAGCCGCGGUAAUACGGAGGGUGCGAGCGUUAAUCGGAAUUACUGGGCGUAAAGCGCAUGCAGGUGGUUUGUUAAGUCAGAUGUGAAAGCCCGGGGCUCAACCUCGGAAUUGCAUUUGAAACUGGCAAACUAGAGUACUGUAGAGGGGGGUAGAAUUUCAGGUGUAGCGGUGAAAUGCGUAGAGAUCUGAAGGAAUACCGGUGGCGAAGGCGGCCCCCUGGACAGAUACUGACACUCAGAUGCGAAAGCGUGGGGAGCAAACAGGAUUAGAUACCCUGGUAGGCUCAGC
rnacentral:rRNA from 1 species